GACGAACGCUGGCGGCGUGCUUAACACAUGCAAGUCGAACGGAAAGGCCCUGCUUUUGUGGGGUGCUCGAGUGGCGAACGGGUGAGUAACACGUGAGUAACCUGCCCUUGACUUUGGGAUAACUUCAGGAAACUGGGGCUAAUACCGGAUAGGAGCUCCUGCUGCAUGGUGGGGGUGGGAAAGUUUCGGCGGCUGGGGUUGGACUCGCGGCUUAUCAGCUUGUUGGUGGGGUAGUGGAUUACCAAGGCUUUGACGGGUCGCCGGCCUGAGAGGGUGACCGGCCACAUUGGGACUGAGAUGCGGCCCAGACUCCUACGGGAGGCAGCAGUGGGGAAUAUUGCACUAUGGGCGGAAGCCUGAUGCAGCAACGCCGCGUGCGGGAUGACGGCCUUCGGGCUGUAAACCGCUUUCGCCUGUGACGAAGCGUGAGUGACGGUAAUGGGUAAAGAAGCACCGGCUAACUACGUG
rnacentral:rRNA from 1 species